rnacentral:rRNA from 1 species
CCUACGGGUGGCAGCAGUGAGGAAUAUUGGUCAAUGGACGAGAGUCUGAACCAGCCAAGUAGCGUGAAGGAUGACGGCCCUAUGGGUUGUAAACUUCUGUUAUAGGGGAAUAAAAUGUGCCACGUGGGGGAUGUUGUAUGUACCAUAUGAAUAAGGAUCGGCUAACUCCGUGCCAGCAGCCGCGGUAAUACGGAGGAUCCGAGCGUUAUCCGGAUUUAUUGGUUUUACAGGGAGAGUAGGUGGAUUGUUAAGUCAGUUGUGAAAGUUUGCGGCUCCACCGUAAAAUGGCAGUUGAAACUGGCAGUCUUGAGUACAGUAGCGGUGGGCGGAAUUCGUUGUGUAGCGG